rnacentral:rRNA from 1 species
AUUGAACGCUGGCGGCAUGCCUUACACAUGCAAGUCGAACGGUAACAGGUCUUCGGAUGCUGACGAGUGGCGAACGGGUGAGUAAUACAUCGGAACGUGCCCGAUCGUGGGGGAUAACGAGGCGAAAGCUUUGCUAAUACCGCAUACGAUCUACGGAUGAAAGCGGGGGAUCUUCGGACCUCGCGCGGACGGAGCGGCCGAUGGCAGAUUAGGUAGUUGGUGGGAUAAAAGCUUACCAAGCCGACGAUCUGUAGCUGGUCUGAGAGGAUGAUCAGCCACACUGGGACUGAGACACGGCCCAGACUCCUACGGGAGGCAGCAGUGGGGAAUUUUGGACAAUGGGCGAAAGCCUGAUCCAGCCAUGCCGCGUGCAGGAUGAAGGCCUUCGGGUUGUAAACUGCUUUUGCACGGAACGAAAAGCCUCUUUCUAAUAAAGAGGGGUCAUGACGGUACCGGAAGAAUAAGCACCGGCUAACUACGUG